UGAGGUUAAGCUACUAAGCGUACACGGUGGAUGCCCUGGCAGUCAGAGGCGAGGAAGGACGUGCUAAUCUGCGAUAAGCGUCGGUAAGGUUAUAUGAACCGUUAUAACCGGC
rnacentral:rRNA from 1 species